rnacentral:lncRNA from 1 species
GCCAAGCAAGGGAACAAAGAGAAAAAGAUAAGAACAAACCGUAGGAAGGAAAAAUUCAAGAGAAAUUGUUGGAUUUCAAGGAAUCAAGCAAGUAAAGGUAAUAUUUUUUUAAUUUUAGCUUGUGAUCUACCUUUCCCAUGCAUUCUUUUUCAUUCUCCAUGGCUGAAAUUCAAGUUUUCAAGAGGAAACCUUUGCUGGCCAAAUCUAGAGAGAGAAGUUUUGGUGAUUAAUUUUGCUAGAUUUCAUAAUAUCCUAGUGUUUUUAAUCAUUUUGUGAUGUUUGGAAAGAAAAACAAGCAAGAAAAUCACAUUUUCUUCAAUAACCCUCAUUUGGCUGAAUUUUCUAUAGGGCAUGUUGAUGAUGGAUUUGGUUGUAAUUCAUGCUAUUUAGCUAGGAAUUGAUGAAUUAUGAUGUUGGAUAUCGAAAUCGGAAUGAAUUUCGGUUACGGUGAAUUAAGUCACAAUUAAGCUCAUUAAGGUACUUUGAUGUUUUGGAAUAUUGGAAGUGUAAUGAAGAUAUAUGGAGUUGAAUUGGAUGUUUUUGCUAAUUAAACAAGGCAUAGUACGAGUUAGGUCGAAUGCCAAUUCAAUUUGAUCAUAAUUGAACCCACGUAGAACACAGUCUUUAAGUGAUUAUUCGGACAAUUCUCAUUCAAUGUCAUGCAUUCAUAUAGAGCCUGAAAUAGUUUUAUAAUAGUUUGGCACAAAUAUAUUGAAUUACGUGUCAUGUAUUAUGUAUAGGUGGUGAGCACUUUGAUAAGGGUAAAGAUAUUGUGCCCGAGGACCAAGAAUAGGAGUACUCCAAACUCAUGCUAUUGUGAGUAAUCAGACUUUCAUCUUAACUAUCUAAAGUAGUUUAUACUCGUUUUUAUGUUUUAAAGAAAAAUGAAUUUAAAUUGUAAACUAUUACGUUUUAUCAUUGAAGUGUUGAUUAAACGAAAUGAGAUUUAUAACUUGUUUUGAAAUUGAAUAAUGGUUUUGGAAAUUGAGUAAGUGGAGACUGUAUAUUUGUGUUAUAUAUAUGUUUUGACAUAUGGUUUGAAUUGGUGGCUUAUGAAAAUGUUAUGGCAAGCAUGGCUAGAAUUGUGUUUGUGUGGAAUAUAUGAACUGUUUUGCUUUGCCUUGACAAGCUGGUAGUAUUAUAUUAGCCAUGUCAUGCUGUCGAAAAUUUUAUUGAAUUUGUGGGUUAUUUGAUUGGCUUAUUGCAGUGGGUGAGUUUCUGUGGACCAGCCUAUUAGAGGGGCACGGUAAAUCUUGUUAUAUUUACCUUAGUUCGUGAGGUGCAGAGGGUAUCUCCUAAGGUAAAGUUAGAGUUCACCUCACACCGAACCACCACAUGAGGGUGAAACUUAGCCAACGCGAAGGAACGACUGUGCUUUUAAAUGUAAAAAUGAGUUUUAUACUUAUAUGUUAUUUUAAUAGCCUUGGCGGACUCGGUUGGAUGCCCGACGCAAGGUGUCACCUAGUGCAAGUUUUGGCACGAGCCAAGUUUUAAGAGAAUCAUAAACCUUGUUGAUUUUGAUGAAAUGAAAUUGAUUUACAUGGGUUGAAAUGAGAUUUGAUGUUAUGAAUCAUAUUAUGAUGAGAUGUUUUAAAUUGUCUCCAUUUACUCGGCUUUAGAUAUUAUAGAUAAAAUUUGCUUACUCACUGGGUUUAUAAAAACUCACCACUUCUUUUCACCCAUUUCAGGCUCAAGGCAAUCUAUAGACCGCUGAUUAUGUUGACGGUUUGCUUUUGGGUUUGCACCCUUAGAAAUCGCAAGUCUAUAGUCUUGCACAUAUAUGUUUAUUUUGGGGGCCCACAUGUCAUUGUAGAAUGUUUUGUAUACUUGGCUGCGUGUGCCACUGUAUGUAUGAAUUUAUUUUGCUUUUACGCUACAAAAAUUAUUUACGCAGAGUUCUAUAAAUAUUAUUUUAUAAGAAAAUGAAAUAUUUUAUUUAAUAUUUUUAUUUAAUUUGAAUAGCUAUAAUUUCACUUCAAAUUGAUGAAUUAGACAACGAAACUUAUUUUUAGACAUGAAAUGGAUGCUUAUUACUCGUAUAUCAUAUUUUUUCCAGGGUUUGAAAAUUUUGGAUAAAAUAACCAAAAUACCCCAGUAUAGCAAAAAUUACUUUUUGAUUAUUUUUGAUUUGAAAUUGGUCUAUAUUUCUUAAAAACGUGGUAUUUAAUAGUUGUUGCUCACAGAGGAGAAGUAAAACUGAUGCAAAAGCCUUGCGAGGUUUCGGUUGGCAUUCCGGGUAAUGGAUGUCAAUUGAAACAUCGCAGCGAUUAUCACGGGCUCGAUGGGAAUUCCGGGUUGUGAUAAUUAAAGUGGUCUAAGAGCUUUUGGUUUUAAAGUUAUUUAAAAACUACAGUGUUAGUGUGACCCCAAGUUAGGUUAGAUUGAGUUGAAUGCAUGCAUCUGCAUAUAAUACUUGAAGUGGUCUAAACUUGUUCUUGUUCUUCUUAUAAAUUAUUAUGCCUCCUCGAAGUGGACUCCCACCUCUCGCUAGAUUAGUUGGGAGAGGAAGAGGCACGAGUCCAACCUAGUGUAGUGACAAGUACCAUGUUUGUAUUUGACAGAGAUGCUUAUGUCUUAAUUGAUUCUGGUUCGGAUAGAUCCUAUGUAAGCACGACAUUUGCAUCCUUUUUUGAUAUAAACCUGUCACCUUUAGAGAAGAAAUUAUAGUUUAUACCCCUCUAAGAGAGUAGUUGGUUAGAAACACCUGUUAUAGAGAUUGUGGAAUAAGAGUUGGUGAGGAAGAUUUAAGGCUGACUUAAUUCCCUUAUAAAUUCAGGAUUUUGAUUUGAUAUUGGGUAUGGAUUGGUUGACUGCACAUCGGACGAAUGUAAAUUGUUUCAGGAAGGAAGUUGUACUUCAGAAUUCUGAAGAAGUAGAA